UGCCAGCAGCCGCGGUAAUUCCAGCUCCAAUGGCGUAUAAUAAUGCUGUUGCUGUUAAAAAGCUCGUAGUUCGACAAGGAUCUGGACUGGAGCGAAGCUCGAGUGCGCAACUUGUUGCCACUUGCAGUUAGCUCCAAUUGGUCUAGAUCCUUCUAUUGACGGCGUUGUCUGGAUUGGACGCUCUUCAUUGCGCGCGAGAUCAACUCCGCAGCAACCAUCUGCACAAGGACAAGCCGUUGUGGUACUGUGAACAAAACAGCGUGCUUCAAGCGAGCGUUUAUAUGCCUGAAUGUUCAAGCAUGGGAUACCAAGGAAGCGACCAAUCGACCAGUCUUUGCUGGCCUUCUAUGAUCGUGUUGGAUAAGAGAGCUAAAGAAUAUCGGUGGAACGGCUGCUGUCUCUUCGGAGCGGUAGUCAGCUCUCUCGAAGCUUCAGUUCAACGGAAUUAGCAGGGGCGAACGGAGGCUGUACGUAUUGGUGCGGCGAGAGGUGAAAAUUCUUAGACUCGCCACCAAGACGAACCUAAGCGAAGGCAUUCAGCUAGUGGACCUUUCAUUAAUCAAGAGCGAGAGUGCAGGGAUCGAAGAUGAUCAGAUACCCGUCGUAGUCUGCUACUGUAAACUAUGCAAACUCGGGGAUCGGCUACCGCAUAUCUUUCAUGAUCACAAAGCCGGAACCUCGACUUCCUCCCUGUUAGCGAAAGCAUUAAGUUUAUGUGUUCAGGGGGAGAGUACAGUUGCAAGGCUGAAACUUAAAGGAAUUGACGGAAUGACACCACAAGGCGUGGAUGCUGCGGCUUAAUUUGACUCAACGCGAGGAAAUUUACCAGGUCAGGACGCAAGUUGGAUUGACAGAUUGAAAGCUCUUUCUUGAUUUUGUGUAUGGUGGUGCAUGGCCGCUCCUGGUUCGUGGAGUGAUUUGUCUGGUUGAUUCCGGUAACGAACGAGAUCUUGACCGUUCAAUGACAGAUUGAUCGUUACAUGUAGUUUGACUCUCAUGCGCUUGCGUAUCGUGACGUUGGAUGAGAUCUAUCCUUGUACUCAACGGGACUACGUGUGUUGACAACACGUGGAAGUGCAAGCCAAUAGCAGGUCUGUGAUGCCCA
rnacentral:rRNA from 1 species